rnacentral:rRNA from 1 species
UACGGAGGGGGCUAGCGUUGUUCGGAAUUACUGGGCGUAAAGCGCGUGUAGGCGGCUACGUGUGUCGGGCGUGAAAUCCCAUGGCUCAACCAUGGAAGUGCACCCGAAACUGCGUAGCUAGAGUCCUGGAGAGGAAGGUGGAAUGCUUGGUGUAGAGGUGAAAUGCGUAGAGAUCGGGAAGAACAUCGGUGGCGAAGGCGCUCUACUGGACCACAACUGACACUCAGGGACGAAAGCUAGGGGAGCGAAUGGG